rnacentral:RNase_P_RNA from 1 species
GGCAGACUCAUGCUAGAGGUCACAUUCAGACUGCAUGUUCUUCACCCUUUCCGCCUUGGGGGAAAGUCUGAGACAAGAGCCAAAAGUUAGCCCUGCAGUAUAUCACUUAGCCUGGGUGAGUGAGUGCACAGAAAUAAUUGCCAGUGUGGGAUGUUGUCACAAGAGAUAUCAGUCAAUCUCCGGCCAACACUGAUGGAUGUUAUCUCAUCGGCUUAGAACCACUCAAGGCCGGUCUGAUGAGGGCAUUGUAUGACUUGGAAAAGUGCUCUAGCUGCC